rnacentral:rRNA from 1 species
AGCUUGUUGGUGAGGUAACGGCUCACCAAGGCUACGAUUUUUAGGGGACCUGAGAGGGUGAUCCCCCACACUGGUACUGAGACACGGACCAGACUCCUACAGGAGGCAGCAGUGAGGAAUAUUGGUCAAUGGACGGAAGUCUGAACCAGCCAUCCCGCGUGCAGGAAGACGGCCCUAUGGGUUGUAAACUGCUUUUCUGAAGGAAGAAUAAUUCCGAGUUUCUCGGGAGAUGACGGUACUUCAGGAAUAAGCAUCGGCUAACUCCGUGCCAGCAGCCACGGUAAUACGGAGGAUGCAAGCGUUAUCCGGAUUUAUUGGGUUUAAAGGGUGCGUAGGCGGAUAAAUAAGUCAGUGGUGAAAUCUCUCGGCUCAACCGGGAAACUGCCAUUGAUACUGUUUAUCUUGAGUUCGGCAGAGGUAGGCGGAAUGUGUAAUGUAGCGGUGAAAUGCUUAGAUAUUACACAGAACACCAAUUGCGUAGGCAGCUUACUAUACCGACACUGACGCUGAGGCACGAAAGCGUGGGGAGCGAACAGGAUUAGAUACCCUGGUAGUCCACGCCGUAAACUAUGAUUACUCGUUGUUGGCGAUACACAGUCAGCGACCAAGCGAAAGCGAUAAGUAAUCCACCUGGGGAGUACGCUCGCAAGAGUGAAACUCAAAGGAAUUGACGGGGGCCCGCACAAGCGGUGGAACAUGUGGUUUAAUUCGAUGAUACGCGAGGAACCUUACCUGGGCUUAAAUGUAGAGUGCAUAAUUGGGAAACCAGUUUUUCCUUCGGGACUCUCUGCAAGGUGCUGCAUGGUUGUCGUCAGCUCGUGCCGUGAGGUGUCGGGUUAAGUCCCAUAACGAGCGCAACCCUUAUCAUUAGUUGCCAUCGGGUAAAGCCGGGGACUCUAGUGAAACUGCCACCGUAAGGUGAGAGGAAGGUGGGGAUGACGUCAAUCAGCACGGCCCUUAUGUCCAGGGCUACACACGUGUUACAAUGGUCGGUACAGAGGGCAGCUACCUGGUGACAGGAUGCAAAUCUCUAAAGCCGGUCCAAGUUCGGAUCGAAGUCUGCAACUCGACUUCGUGAAGCUGGAAUCGCUAGUAAUCGCGCAUCAGCCAUGGCGCGGUGAAUACGUUCCCGGGCCUUGUACACACCGCCCGUCAAGCCAUGGAAGCUGGGGGUGCCUGAAGUUCGUAACCGCAAGGAGCGACCUAGGGUAAAACUAGUGACUGGGGCUAAGUCGUAACAAGGUAGCCGUACCGGGGUGUGGCUG